rnacentral:rRNA from 1 species
UGAGGAAUCUUCCACAAUGGGCGAAAGCCUGAUGGAGCAACGCCGCGUGCAGGAUGAAGGCCUUCGGGUCGUAAACUGCUUUUAUAAGUGAAGAAUCUGACUGUAACUUAUGAAUAAGGAUCGGCUAACUACGUGCCAGCAGCCGCGGUCAUACGUAGGAUCCGAGCGUUAUCCGGAGUGACUGGGCGUAAAGAGUUGCGUAGGUGGUUUAUUAAGUAAAUGAUGAAAGCUGGUGGCUUAACCAUUCAGUUGUCAUUUAAACUGAUAAACUUGAGAAUAGUAGGGGUAACUGGAAUUUCUUGUGUAGGAGUGAAAUCCGUAGAUAUAAGAAGGAACACCGAUGGCGUAGGCAGGUUACUGGGCUAUUUCUGACACUGAGGCACGAAAGCGUGGGGAGCGAACG